rnacentral:tRNA from 1 species
GCCCGGGUGGCGAAAUUGGUAGACGCACUACUUUGAGGUGGUAGCGCCGCGAGGUGUAGGAGUUCGAAUCUCCUCUCGGGCA